CAGCAGCCGCGGGAAUACGUAGGUCCCGAGCGUUGUCCGGAUUUAUUGGGCGUAAAGCGAGCGCAGGCGGUUAGAUAAGUCUGAAGUUAAAGGCUGUGGCUUAACCAUAGUACGCUUUGGAAACUGUUUAACUUGAGUGCAAGAGGGGAGAGUGGAAUUCCAUGUGUAGCGGUGAAAUGCGUAGAUAUAUGGAGGAACACCGGUGGCGAAAGCGGCUCUCUGGCUUGUAACUGACGCUGAGGCUCGAAAGCGUGGGGAGCAAACAGGAUUAGAUACCCCUGUAGUCCCUGUCUCUUAUACA
rnacentral:rRNA from 1 species